UACGGAGGGUGCAAGCGUUAUCCGGAUUCACUGGGCUUAAAGGGUGCGUAGGUGGGUCUGUAAGUCAGUGGUGAAAUCUCCAAGCUUAACUUGGAAACUGCCGUUGAUACUAUAAAUCUUGAAUGCUGUGGAGGUGAGCGGAAUAUGUCAUGUAGCGGUGAAAUGCGUAGAUAUGACAUAGAACACCAAUUGCGAAGGCAGCUCACUGGGCAGAUACUGACGCUGAGGCACGAAAGCGUGGGGAGCAAACAGG
rnacentral:rRNA from 1 species